GCUCUCCUGGCCAGUGCAUAUACUAAAAUUGGAAUGAUACAGAGAAGAUUAGCGUGGCCCCUGUGCAAGGAUGACAUGAAAAUCUGUGAAGUGUUGACUAUUUUA